rnacentral:rRNA from 1 species
GACGAACGCUGGCGGCGUGCUUAACACAUGCAAGUCGAACGCUGAAGCUCAGCUUUUGUUGGGUGGAUGAGUGGCGAACGGGUGAGUAACACGUGAGUAACCUGCCUCCUUCUUUGGGAUAACGCCCGGAAACGGGUGCUAAUACUGGAUAUUCACUGGUCUUCGCAUGGGGGUUGGUGGAAAGGGUUUUUCUGGUGGGGGAUGGGCUCGCGGCCUAUCAGCUUGUUGGUGGGGUGAUGGCCUACCAAGGCUUUGACGGGUAGCCGGCCUGAGAGGGUGACCGGUCACAUUGGGACGGAGAUACGGCCCAGACGCCUACGGGAGGCAGCAGUGGGGAAUAUUGCACAAUGGGCGAAAGCCUGAUGCAGCGACGCCGCGUGAGGGAUGGAGGCCUUAGGGUUGUGAACCUCUUUCGCUCAUGGUCAAGCCGCAACAAUGGUUGUGGUGAGGGUAGUGGGUAAAGAAGCGCCGGCUAACUACGUG